AGCACGGGAGCAAUCCUGGUGGCGAGUGGCGAACGGGUGAGUAAAGUAUCGGAACGUGCCCAGUCGUGGGGGAUAACGUAGCGAAAGCUACGCUAAUACCGCAUACGAUCUAUGGAUGAAAGCGGGGGAUCGCAAGACCUCGCGCGAUUGGAGCGGCCGAUAUCAGAUUAGGUAGUUGGUGGGGUAAAGGCCUACCAAGCCGACGAUCUGUAGCUGGUCUGAGAGGACGACCAGCCACACUGGGACUGAGACACGGCCCAGACUCC
rnacentral:rRNA from 2 species